CAAACUGUGAUAUCUGUCCAUUGAGUGUAGUUCUUGCUCCCUGGCAAAAAAAAAACAAAGAGUUUAAUGUUUCUUGGUAAUCUAGUUUCUAGUUAGAAGAGUUUUUAGUUUUCUUGAUCCUCACAUAGUGUUGACCAGUUUCGUCUAAAAUCCCAGCUGCUGCAGAUGCAUAGUUAAGCCCUUUCAAGACGUUUCCCCCAAUUGAUACUGGAGAUAGAUAUGGUGGCACCAAUGGCAAACCGAGAAACGGCCAGUGGGGAAGCCAAAAUCAAUUCCAUAUGGGAGAUAGUUAGCUUUUGCUAGAGUGGGAAUGUAAUUGUUGUUUCCACUGUCAACUAAAGAAUCUCCAAAGAUGAAGAACGCUGGAGCAAGGGGAUGAUGGUUUCUAGAUUGGUCAUGGCCAUAACCAAACCAGACAAGCUCCAAGAACACAACACAAAACAACAAACUCUUCAUUUUUGUUUUGCUAAACAACAACAAACUCUUCAUGCUUCUCUCUUUCUGUCCUAGCUUAGAAGAGAAGCUUGUAAUAUUUAUGGGAAUAUGGAGGGAAAUAUGGUUGUGUAUGUGACAUAUUGAGAUAGUGUUUGGUUCAGAAGAACUGGUCGUGGUAAAUGAUCUCAUGGUGUGUAGUGGUUAACUGUUACACUUGUAAAAGAUUUUCUGUUUUUCAUUUACUGCUGCUUUUAAUUUCUUACUCUGUUCAUCUUCUUUUCUAUAGAGGCAGGUUUUA